UACGGGGGGAGCAAGCGUUGUUCGGAUUUACUGGGCGUAAAGGGCGCGUAGGCGGCCACCGCAAGUCAGUUGUGAAAUCUCUGGGCUUAACCCAGAACGGUCAGCUGAUACUGCGGGGCUAGAGUGCAGAAGGGGCAACUGGAAUUCCGUGUGUAGCGGUGAAAUGCGUAGAUAUACGGAGGAAUACCUGAGGCGAAGGCGGGUUGCUGGGCCAACACUGACGCUGAUGCGCGAAAGCCAGGGGAGCAAACGGG
rnacentral:rRNA from 1 species